GCGCUGACCCCUAGGCGCCGCUGGUGGCCCCGCGCGCGGCCCUCCGGCCAGCCCCGCCCCUCUCGGGGCUCCUCCUUGGUCCCCGCGCCAUGGCGCGUCCGCGUUGACCGCUGUCUUCCCUUUCGGGCUGUGCUGAUCGCGAACGCUGCGCAGUCCGUGGUGGCGUCGAGGCACCUUUCUCGUGCCUUUACCUGUGUUCACUCCUUUGCUUUAAAAAACAGCCCUAGAAGUACACAUCGUUGGCCCCGAAGGAGCCCCAGCAGCCAUGUCGGACCGCGAGGUGACCUUGGAGGGCGGGAGGACGGACGAGGGGCCUGGCGGAGCUAGACUGAGAGGGCGCCGCCGGCGUCCUGAAGGCCCUGCUCCCCGAAUGUGUGGGAGUGUGUCUGACGGUGCGAGGGUGGCUGUGGCGGGGCCUGAGCAGCGUGUCCGUGUCCCGAUGCCGCCCGCCUGUUACUGAGUUAGGCAGGAGUGCCCGAGUCUGGCGAACUUCAGCAGUUCUCGUUCCAGAGCUCCACACGAGGUUGGCCAAAGCUUUGCGGGACUUACAUACCCUUCUUCCUCCGCCCAGUCCUGCUUCCUUCCCCUUCCUUUCACGGGUGUUGAUACCAUGUCAACAUCCUCGUACCCCAAACUCAGUCGCAGCGUCUGCUUCUGGAGAAACCAUUCUGCAGCAUUAAAGCUGGUGAGAAGAUGGGAUUCGAGGCUGCAUCACUCACCAGUGGUGAAGUAGGAGGGUGAACUAGUGAAAUGGAAUCCACGAGUGGGUGAAGUAUCAGACAUUUCAUAUAUGGUGAACGUAGUAGAUAAAAGGAAGGAAAGGGGGAUUGGAUAGCUAUUGCUUAGUGCCAACCGAGACUCUUAAGAAUAGUGGUCAGCUGAAGGCAAGCAACAAACAGUUGUAAGCCAGUGAAUCUGUCCCGUUACAUAUAGAGAAGCUUCAUUUACUGCAGCAGGUCAAAGACAAGAACCAGGCCCAGGAAUUAACAUCCCUGUUUGACUGAACUCCAAAAAUAGCAAAACACCCAAACAAGGCAAUACUCUUCCACUAAGUUUGGAUCCCUGCUAAGAAAAGAUGAGGCUGGGCACAGUGGCUCACACCUGUAAUCCCAGCACUUUGGGAGGCCAAGGCGGGAAGAUUGCUUGAGUUCAGGAGUUCAAGACCAGCUUGGGCAACAUGACAAAACCCCAUCUCUACUGAAAACACAAAAAAUUAGCCGGGCAUGGUGGCCACGGCUGUGGUCCCAGCUGCUUGGGAGGCUAAGGUGGGUGGAUCACCUGAGCCCUGGAAGUCAGGGCUGUAGUGAGCUGUGACUGCACUCCAGCCUGGGCAACAGGAGUGAGACUCUGUCUUUUAAAAAAAAAAAAGAAAGAAAAGAAAAGCCCGUCAUACAUGGGUUGGAGAUACCUGGGUAGAUGCCUUCAAAGGUUUUGACUCCCCAAACUGCCUUAAACCUUUUUUUCGUAGACAGUGUCUCACUCUGUUGCCCAGGCUGGAGUGCAGUUGCUGGAUCAUGGCCCACUGUAGCCUCAACUUCCUGGGCUCAAACGAUCCUCCCACCUGAGCCUCCUAAGUAACUGGGACUACAGGUAUGUGUCACCACACCUGGAUACAUUUUUUAUUACUUGUAGAGGCAAGGUCUUGCUAUGUUGCCCGGGCUUGUCUCAAACUUCUAGGCUCCAGUGAGCCAUCACACCUGGCCUGCCUUGAACCUGAAGCCUGCCGGGGUGGCUCACCUCUCCUAUUAACCUGACACUACUCCUCCUCCCUCCACUUACUGCUCAGUAGAUGUAUAAUUAUGGUUGUUUCUUUUGCAUUAUUCAGCUGGAAACAAUGAGAUAGAAAAGAGAAUAUAGCUCCCUCCCCCUCAGAAGAACUGCGUUAUUAGUUUGCUGGGGCUUCAGUAACAAACUGGGCAGACAUUUAUUGUCUCCCAGUUCUGGAGGCUAGAAGUCUGAGAUCAAAGUUUUCACAGGGUUGGUUCCUUCUGGGGCUGGGAGGGAGAAUCUGUCUCAUGCCUCUCUCCCAGCUUCUGGUGGUUUGCUGGCAGUCUUUGGUUCCUUGGCUUAUAGAGGCAUUGUCCCAGUCCUGCCUUUAUAUUCACAUGGUGAUCUUGUUGUGUGUGUCUCUCCAGACGAAGGCAUAAGUAACAUCAUUGACAAAGGUCAUUCGACAUGGGCCUCUUUUUAGAAGGACACCAGUCAUACUGAUUAGGGCCCACUCUAAUGAGCGCAUCUUAACUUGUCUACAAAGACCCAUUUCCAAAUAAUGUCACAUUCACAUUGACCAGGGGUUAGGGCUUCAGCAUCUUUUGAGAGGGACACACUUCAGCCCAUAACAAGCUGUACCACCCAGCCAACAUGUACUGACAGGAGCUGGGAAAGUUUGGGGCUGGAUUAUGAGGGUGCUUGAUGAAGGGAGCUGGAAUGUAAACUUGCAUAGAUGUGUUUAUUGAAAUACGUGAUUUAACACCUUGGCAAAGAGUGGCUGCAGACUUCCUGCAAGGAUGGCUCCUAGAAUGGCGGUAUAGCUACUGCUGCCUAACAAAUUACUCCACACUUCGUGGCUUAAAACAAGAAUCAUUUCUUAUCUCUAGGUUACUGUGGGUCAGACAUAGUGGGGAUCGGUGAUCUCUCUAGGUUACUGUGGGUCAGACAUAGUGGGGAUUGGUUAUCUCUCUUCCACAGUGUCUGAGGCCUCAGCUGGAGCAGUUCAGAGGCUAGAGGUUGGAAUGAGUGAAGGUUCAUCUGCUCGAAUGUCUGACAGCUGAUACUGGAGAUUGGCUGCAGCCCAGAUUGGGGAUGUCAGCCAGCACACCCCUACACGGCCGGUCCCUGUGGCCGAGGCUUUCUCACAAUAUGAUGGCUGGAUUCCAAGGGCAAUCUAAAGACAAAGGACAAAAGAAAGCUGUAUCCUUUUUGUGAACCAGCCUCAGAAGUUGCAUACCAUCACUUCGGCUACUUCCUAUUUGGAAGAAAUGAGUCACUAAAUUACCCAUAUUCAAAAGGAGAGGAAUUAGGCUUCAUCUUCUAAAGGGAAGAAUAUCAAAAAAUUUGCCAGUAUAUUUUUAAAACACCACACUUGGAAAAAGCCAUGGGCCAUGGUAAGCAAAAUUGAAAUGGCAAAAUUGCUAUGGCAGACAGUGGUGGAAGGGAGUAAAAGGUUCAGGGGUGUGGGCAUGUUGAAAUUUAUAUACUCCGUGCAUCUAGAAGACAUUUGAGACGAUCAUAUUCCACAUGAAGGUGUAAAUAACACGUCAUUUAUAAAGAUCAUUAGACAUAGGAUGAUGAAAGGGGCACUGAUGUCACUAAAAUAUUCAGUGAUGGCUCAUCUCUGUAGGCAAGAAUGACAAUAGAAAGGCUGUUCCAGAACUUGGCUGGGUGAUAGCACUGGGGAUGAUAGGAUCCUAAGACAAAAGAGGCCAUUCUGGGACAUAGUGGGGACCAAAGAAAAAAACCCAAGAAGCCAAAGGCAACACUUAGCUGGCAGAAGUCAGAGGAUUGCAAUUAUAGCAGCCAGCAGGGUCUGAGUGGCAGCCAAGGGGACCUCACUUGUAUGGUUAUAGAACUGGUCAAUAAACAUGGCAUCCCUGGAGGCAAAACAGGUGGGCAGCUAAGAAGGGUACUACUCAGCUGGCAAAAAAAAAAAAAAAAAAAAAAAUCCAUCCAGGCACGGUGGCCUGUGCCUGUAAUCUCAGCAUUUGGGGAAGCUAAGGUGGGAGGAUCACUUGAGCCCAGGAGUUCAAGAUUACAGUGAGCUGUGGUUGCACCACUGCACUCCAGCCCGGGCAAUGUGGCAAGACUGUCUCAAUUGAAAAAAAUAAAUAAAGAUGCUUGUCCCAGUUUUAAAAAAUCAGGAUUCCAUGCCCAGCUUCUGGAACUGAGCCAGUUUUCAGAAAUGGAAACAUUACUUGAGAGGUGGCCAAACACCAGGAAGAAGGACCUAUAACAGUACAAGUACAACAGAAAUGAAUCCCCAGGUACUUUUCCAAAGGGUCUGAUAGCAAUUUCUUUUGAUAACUACAUCCUGGAGAAAAGUGAUUAGCCAAACAUUUGGAAGACUUGUGGACACAGGGUCUAAAUUGAUGUCCAGAUGCCUAGAAUAUCAUCCCCUUCUGUUAGAGUGGCUGCAUGUGGUGGCCAGGUAAUUGAUGGAGUUCUGCUAAAGGUCCAGCUUACAGUGGACCCGUAGACCUAGUGGACUGAUCUAGUGAUAUUUUCUUAGCCUUCGAGUGAGUAAUUGGCAUUGACAUACUUGGCAGUGAAUGCUCAUUCCAGGUCCCUGACCUAUAGAGUUAGAUAACAAAAUGGAAAAAGCCAAACAGAAACCUGAAACUGCCCCAUCCCCUACCAAGAUUAUAAAACAAUUAUCCCAGAGCGGGAAUGGCAGAGAUAAGUGCCACUUCUAAGGAUCCAAGUGAUGUAAAGUGGUGGUUACCAACAUUUUUAAUUUACCAGCAUGACCCCUGCAGAAGUCACAAGGAUCCUGGAGAAUGGCAGCCUACUCUAUUUGCUGUCAACCAGUAGUUGUUUUGGGUACACUGCUGCAAACUCAUCUAAGAAGUAUCCCUGGCCGGGCACAGUGGCUCACGCCUGUAAUCCCAGCACUUUGGGAGGAUAAGGUGGGCGGAACACGAGGUCAGGAGUUCAGUCUGGCCAACAUAGUGAAACCCUGUCUCUACUAAAAAUACAAAAAAUUAGCUGGGUGUGGUGGUGUGCACCUGUAAUCCCAGCUACUUGGGAGGCUGAGGCAGGAGAAUCCCAUGAACCUGGGAGGUGGAGGUUGCAGUGAGCCGAGAUCAUGCCAUUGCACUCCAGCCCAGGUGACAGUGUGAGACUCUAUCUCAAAAAAAAAAAAAAAAAGUAUCCGUAAUAGCCUCUCUGCCAGAUAUGGUAGGUAGUUGUUGACUAGGUGGAUUUGUUCUUUUCUGUACCUAUCAGGGAUCAAAAACAUUUUGCAUUUGCAUGGAAUUAAAAUGCAGUUUUGCCGGAAGGUUAUGUUACUUCUCUUGCUCUCUGUCGUAAUCCAAAGAGAUCUGGACCACCUAGACAUCCUGUAGAAUAUUACAUUGUUCCUUUACAUCAGUGACAUGUUGAUCAGCCAGAUGAGAAGUGCAGAAGAUCCUGGAGACAGCUGCUCCAGAGAGUGGCAUAUAAACCCUACAGGAAUCCAGGAGCCUGCUACAAUCCUAACAUUUUUAGGGCUCCAGUGGUCAGGGGUGCUCUAGGGCAUCCCUUCCAAAAGCGAAUGAAUUAUUGCUGCUUGCACCUCCUGCCGUUAAGAAAGCAAGACGCUUGUUGGUUCUCGAGCUAGUUCUUGCCUCAGGUUCUGGAGGCAGCAUGUCCCACACCUGGGAGUAUUGCUCUGGUCCAGAGACUAGUGGAAUUGGGAGAUUUCCAAUUUUGGAAAGAGCCCAGAACUGGAAACGUCUGUACAGUAGAUCCGGGUUGUGAUGAAGUAAUGCUAUUGCCUGGGCCAUAUAGUCCAACAGGUGUUUUUUUGGUGUUAUUAAUGGUGCAGAAUGAUGCAAUGUAGAGAUUCUGUCAUGCCACCUGGAGCAGAGAAUUGUAUGCAUUUGGGGGGCGGGCGGGUGUAGAUCUGUCUUCUGGUAUGCCACUUGUCUCUGACAGAGAUGGAACGCCUGACCGUAAGCCACCAGGUGACCAUGCAACCAGAACUGCCUGUUAAUGUUAAACUAGCAAAAGUCAUAACAUCAGUUGGGGCCAGCAACGGUCCCUCAUAAUAUGGAAGUAGUAUAUUCAAGGUUGAGCAUGAGAAUGUACAGAGGUUACCAAAUGAGCUGCAGAGCACAGAUGCACAUGACUUCCAGAACUGUUGGAUCAGCCACAAUGUCAUUUCACACCUGUGACAGUGUGAGGGGGCCCUUAUAGCCAGUUGACAGGAGUAAAAAUCGUGAGCAUGGUGUAUAAAUGGGUUGGCUCAGUAUGAGUUCAAAAUGAAAAUAGCAGCUACAUUACAGCCUUCUCAGGGGUGACCUUGAAAAAUGGUGAUAAGGGCAUAUCCUCUCAAUAGGCAGAAUUUCAGGCAGAGCUCCUGGUCGUCCACUUUUUUGUGGAAGAAGUAGCCCAAGGUGAGAAUAUACAUGGAGCCAUGGGCAAUGCUAGAGGGCCUGGGUAACUGGUUAAGGGCCUGGAAGGAAAACAAUCGGAAGUUGGAGAUAAGGAGGUGUGUGGUAGAUUUAUGUGGUCAGAUAAAUUGGAAUAGCACGAAGUACAAUGUUCUUUGUAUACAAUGUUAAUGCCCACCAGAGAGCAUCCAUGAAAGAAGCAUUAUACAACCAAGUAGACAGUUGACUCAGCCAGUUGAUAUUGGACAGCAUCUUUUAUUGGCUACUGUACUACUGGCAUGAUGGGCACAUGGACAAGGUAGCCAAGGUGAUGGACGCUGUUCAUGGGCCUGACAGCAACCCAUGCUCUCUACCCAGCUUUGGUUAAUAUCUAGCUGCCCCUGAAUAUCUAACCUGCCAGCAAAAGAGAUCUACCCGGCUUUGGUUAAUAUCUAGCUGCCCCUAAAUAUCUAACCUGCCAGCAAAAGAGACCAGUGCUAUACUCCCAUUGUGGGUCACUUCAUCAAGGAGCACAAACAUCCAGGUUUACAGAGGUCUUUAGACAUAGUCCCCAUUUUAUAAGGAGAGUUUACUGUAUUGGAACUCUCCCAUCCUGGAAGGGCUGGUGGUUCACUUUUCACAAGAAUAGUCUCAUAUUCCAGAUACGAGGCUUGUCUUUUCCUACUCACAAGUGUCAGCCAGAAAGGCUUAAGGAGUGUUUGUUUCACUGACAUAAGCACACAACAUUUCAAACGAGAUUCACUUUAUAGCCAAGGAAGUGUAGUGUCCAUGGGCCCUCCUGCCUGGCAGAGCGCUGAGACAGCAUGCUAAAGGCACAGCCUCCCAAAGGCAUGAGCCACUGAGCCCGGCACUGAAGACUUCCUUGAAACCGUUCUUUGCAAUCUUUCUGUUAUUGACCAGCUGGACAGUGCGUAACUGCAUGGGAAUGCUUGCAGAUCAGUAAAUUCAGACACCUUCCUUUCCACAUAAGAUGGACCACCAGCUGUACCCUCCCAAGUUUUGCCAGCUGGAAAUCUUCAAAAAU
rnacentral:lncRNA from 1 species